ACUGAAUCAGCUGAGGUGAAGGAGAAAGUCAGCAGCAGCAAGCCACAGAAGUCAGACUAAAGCAUUCAAGUUGGGAAUGAGAGAAAGAGGGAGCCAGUGAAGGGCUUCCUCAGGAUGGGCCAGGCCGGGGUGAGCUGGGCGCACCUUCAGGCUGCAGUGCACGGCGGACUCGGGUGGGUACACGAUGAAAUGGCGCAGGGUGAAGCCGAAGCCGUCCUGAAGACUCUUGUGCAGCAGCAGUGUCCGCGGCCCCUGCCAGGGGAAGGGGCGCCCAGGAGAGCACCCAUCUCUUGGGCCCAGUGGCAGCUGUGGGAGCACAGGGAGAUGGCUGGAGAAAAAUCGAAUUUGCCACUCAAAUGCACUGAUGCUAAGAAGUUCCAUCAUCCAUCCAUCCACUCUCCUGUUAACACAUCUGGCGGAAGGAAGCCUGCCCUAGGUCCAGGGCUAUG